rnacentral:rRNA from 1 species
GACGAGGGAUCCUAGCGUUGUUCGGAAUCAUUGGGCGUAAAGGGGGCGUAGGUGGCUUUGUAAGUCAGGUGUGAAAUCCCGGGGCUCAACCCCGGAAGUGCAUUUGAUACUGCAAAGCUUGAGUGCCGGAGAGGUUACUGGAAUACCUGGUGUAGUGGUGAAAUACGUAGAUAUCAGGUGGAACACCGGAGGCGAAGGCGGGUAACUGGCCGGACACUGACACUCAAGCCCGAAAGCGUGGGGAUCAAACAGG